GAGUUGAGUGUGUGUGUGAUCAGAGGUGAAGCUGCUUCCUGGUUGUUGAUGUUUGUUUCUAAAGAUGUUGUUGAUGAGACUUUGUAGAAAGCAGCUGGUCUGAGUGAUGUGAUCAGAGUGCAGUAGAUAAUGUCUGACAGCAGUUUGAAGAGGAAAUGGAUUCUGUUCUGUUCUUCACUCAUCACCUACCUCAGUGUUUCCCAACCACUGUGCUGCGGCACACAGGUUUGUCGUGGAAGAUGAUCUGGUUCCACCUGGUUGGUACUCUAAGCAAAUGGCGUGACUGGCAGAACAAUUACAUUCUCUUCCACUAGAGGGCAAUGCAACCUGCUCUGAUUAAAUGUGUCGCCAACUGCCAGUAAAACAGAAGACAGAGGAAAUUACAUAAUUGUCAUGCUGUGAGUGUGACAAUGCAGCACAUAAAAGCAAUAAAUAUUUGAAAAGAAAAAUUUGUCAAUCUUACCUGGAUCCUGGAAAAAAUCCCAAUACAGAUGAAGGCCCUAGCUAGAGAUGUGGUCAGAAGAAAGCAAUUUAAACAAAAGAAAAGCGAGGAGGAUCUGUUGGACUGAAAGGCAGUGUGCUAGUUUUAGGUCUGCUUUUUGUUGUUGCUUUUGCUUUUGCAUUUUAGAGAAUAACAGCGACAGGAUCCGUACCAGCCUCCUGCUGAACCACAACAGCUUUGAAACCUCUCAGAACUUUUUCCAUCUGAACUCUGACCCAUGAAUUGAUGAUGAACAUCGAACACGUCCAGAGUUGCUUUGAUGUCAAAUUUCUCUGACUAUCAUCAAACCUGUUCAGACUGUGUCAGUCUCUGUGCUGUCUAUCAGAGACUCUGAACUACAGUGUUUGUGCAUCUUCAGUUUCCAUAGGAUUUGUUUACAAUAAGAAGGAAUUUUGUAAAUCAAUCAAUGAAUUCACUGUAUGAUACAAAAUCAUUAUCCUAAUAGUAUAGUAGCUUGUAGGUUUUCCGUUCCUCUCAGCCUCCAAUUUGUUGUUCUUUAUACAACCUGAAUUCCAGAAAAGUUGUGACGUUUCAUAAAUUUGAACAACACGAAAGCUAAGACUUUCACUUGAUAUGAGCCAAUAACUUAUUCACAACAGAACGUAAUUAACAUAAAUGUUUAAACUGAGAAAUUUUACAACUAUGAAUGCCAGUGUUCGGCAGCCUCGCCUCUGUCAGUGCGCCCCAGGGUGGCUGUGGCCACAAUGUAGCUGCCAUCACCAGUGUGUCAAUGUGUGUGUGAAUGGGUGGAUGACUGGAUAUGUAAAGCGCUUUGGGGUCCUUAGGGACUAGUAAAGCGCUAUAUAAAUACAGGCCAUUUACCAUCUGCUACCCUUCAGAUGAUGUUUAGUUCAGGGAAGGCCGUUUGUAUUUGCCAAUCUUUCACCUAUAGAGAACAUUACAGACGCAUAAUUAAUUAAAUGCACAAACUCUUCGGCAGAUGAAAACCUAUAUCAGGCAAGAAUUGGACUGAAUUUCCAAACCAAAACUCCAGAAAGUCAUAACUUCAAUGCUCAGACAUCUUCACACUGGUUUGAAAAGAAGAGGAGAUGCUACACAAACAGGCCCCUGUUUCAACUACUCUGAGACCUGGAGACCUGCAUCUGAUUUGAAAUGAGCUCAUUUAGUGCCUGAAAGUAUAAAAUCUCAGAUUAAACAUUCAUGUUAUCAAAGUCAGCUUUAUUGGCAAAAACCAUAUGCUCAGAGCACACAGAGGAAUUUCAAAUUGCAAUGCUCCCACAGCCCCCAGCCCUCGAGAUAAAAAGAUAGAAAUACAACAAUCUUAUGUACAACACAAUGCAAUAUAAUACAAAACAAUCUUACAUAAACAAAAGUGUCCAACACAAUCAGAGUGCUAUUCAUGUUCUGUUGUGAAUGAAAUAUUGGCUCAUGCUUUUUGAAAGUCUUAGUUUUCAUUUUGUUCAAAUUAAAUUACUUAAUUAAUUAUUAAAUUACUUCUCUGGAAUUCGAGUUGUAUUUUUGCUUUUUACAUUCAAAUAUGAAUAAACUUUUUUUUUUUUUAUCUGUAAUUGUAUGUUUUUAUAAGAAGUCAUAUUUUGCUAAUAAAGAACUGUUAAAGCUU
ensembl:lncRNA